GGUUGUGGUGGCAGUCCUGGCACUGGGAGCCAUGGGCCACGACAACCACUUACACAUCUAUAGGGCUCCCAGUGCCAGAACUGCCACCACAAUC